rnacentral:rRNA from 1 species
GACGAACGCUGGCGGCGUGCCUAAUACAUGCAAGUCGAACGAGUGGCGGACGGGUGAGUAAUGUCUGGGAAACUGCCUGAUGGAGGGGGAUAACUACUGGAAACGGUAGCUAAUACCGCAUACCAUCGGAUGUGCCCAGAUGGGAUUAGCUAGUAGGUGGGGUAAAGGCUCACCUAGGCGACGAUCCCUAGCUGGUCUGAGAGGAUGACCCGCAACACGGGAACUGAGACACGGUCCAGACGCCUACGUGAGGCAGCAGUGGGGAAUAUUGCACAAUGGGCGCAAGCCUGAUGCAGCCAUGCCGCGUGUAUGAAGAAGGCCUUCGGGGUGUAAAGUACUUUCAGCGGGGAGGCGUUACCCGCAGAAGAAGCACCGGCUAACUCCGUGCCAACAGCCGCGGUAAUUC